UCCCAUUCAGAAACGCAUGCGGUAUCGGAAUUUCUCAAAAACAUGGACGGAGAGGAGUGACUUGCUUCUUUGAGAGAAUUUUGCCCGCAUUUGGCUCCAUUUUACCGUUUCCUGAAAAAGAAACGGUAGUUAUGAAGUGCAAGACAUGUGCUCACAAAGUAAAUGCAAAAACUGCAUUACAUACAUGGUGUGGUCUAUCAUUCAUACCUGCGUCUCAACUCUCACAAGAAUGUUGAAGGUCGUCAGGAGGUCGUCGACCAGAAAGACCUAGGACCACUGGCAUCAAGAGAUUGAGUACUCCUGAAGAGAAUCAACAUC